rnacentral:rRNA from 1 species
CGCCUGUUUAUCAAAAACAUUGCCUCUAGUUUAACUCAUUAAAGGUAGUCUCUGCCCAGUGAACUUUUAACUAAACGGCCGCGGUAACCCUGACCGUGCUAAGGUAGCACAAUAAUGAGCCUCCUAAUUUGAGGAUAGAAUGAAUGAGCUAACAAGAAAAUUAUUGUCUCUCUAACGAAAUUGGAAAUUUCCAAUUGGGUGAAAAUGCCCAAAUCCUCAAUAAAGACAAAAAGACCCUUUAAGCUUUUUAUCUACUAAUUAUCCCUAAAUUACCCGUAUUUAGUUGGGGCGACAAAAAGCAAAAAACACUUCAUAUAUCCUCAUCCAGAGCUCAUUACUCACAAAAUCUAUCCAAUAGCACACAUGUAAGCUACUAUAGGGAUAACAGGCCAAUACUUCUAGAGAGUACAUAUCGACAGAAGUGUUUAGCACCUCGAUGUUGGCUUAGGGCUCCUUCUUCAUGCAGCAGUGAUGACAGAUGGUUUGUUCAACCCUUAACCCCCUACGUGAUCUGAGUUCAGACCGG